rnacentral:rRNA from 1 species
CCUACGGGCGGCAGCAGUAGGGAAUAUUGCUCAAUGGGGGAAACCCUGAAGCAGCAACGCCGCGUGGAGGAUGAAGGUUUUCGGAUUGUAAACUCCUUUUGUUAGAGAAGAUAAUGACGGUAUCUAACGAAUAAGCACCGGCUAACUCCGUGACAGCAGCCGCGGUAAUACGGAGGGUGCAAGCGUUACUCGGAAUCACUGGGCGUAAAGGGCGCGUAGGCGGGAUAGCAAGUCAGAUGUGAAAUCCUAUGGCUUAACCAUAGAACUGCAUUUGAAACUGUUAAUAUAGAGUAUGGGAGAGGUAGGUGGAAUUCUUGGUGUAGGGGUAAAAUCCGUAGAGAUCAAGAGGAAUACUCAUUGCGAAGGCGACCUGCUAGAACAUAACUGACGCUGAUGCGCGAAAGCGUGGGGAGCAAACAGGAUUAGAUACCCCAGUAGUC